UUGCCCUAGUAACGGCGAGUGAAGCGGCAACAGCUCAAAUUUGAAAGCUAGCCUUCGGGUUCGCAUUGUAAUUUGUAGAGGAUGAUUUGGGGAAGCCGCCUGUCUAAGUUCCUUGGAACAGGACGUCAUAGAGGGUGAGAAUCCCGUAUGUGACAGGAAAUGGCACCCUAUGUAAAUCUCCUUCGACGAGUCGAGUUGUUUGGGAAUGCAGCUCAAAAUGGGAGGUAAAUUUCUUCUAAAGCUAAAUACUGGCCAGAGACCGAUAGCGCACAAGUAGAGUGAUCGAAAGAUGAAAAGCACUUUGGAAAGAGAGUUAAAAAGCACGUGAAAUUGUUGAAAGGGAAGCGCUUGCAAUCAGACUUGUUUAAACUGUUCGGCCGGUCUUCUGACCGGUUUACUCAGUUUGGACAGGCCAGCAUCAGUUUCGGCGGCCGGAUAAAGGCUCUGGGAAUGUGGCCUCCACUUCGGUGGAGGUGUUAUAGCCCAGGGUGUAAUACGGCCAGCCGGGACUGAGGUCCGCGCUUCGGCUAGGAUGCUGGCGUAAUGGUUGUAAGCGACCCGUCUUGGAACACGGACCAAGGAGUCUAACAUAUGUGCGAGUUCACGGGUGUUAAACCUGAAUGCGCAAUGAAAGUGACUGCUGGGAUUUUUGCACCAGCAACCGACCAAUCAAUUGUGAGAGGUUUGAGUAUGAGCAUAUCUGUUAGGACCCGAAAGAUGGUGAACUAUGCCUGAAUAGGGCGAAGCCAGGGGAAACUCUGGUGGAGGCUCGUAGCG
rnacentral:rRNA from 14 species